UGGGCUGGUGACGGUACCUGCAGAAGAAGCGCCGGGCUAACUACGUGCCCAGCAGCCGCGGUAAUACGUAGGGCGCAAGCGUUAUCCGGGAAUUAUUGGGCGUAAAGAGCUCGUAGGCGGUUUGUCGCGUCUGCCGUGAAAGUCCGGGGCUUAACUCCGGAUCUGCGGUGGGUACGGGCAGACUAGAGUGCAGUAGGGGAGACUGGAAUUCCUGGUGUAGCGGUGAAAUGCGCAGAUAUCAGGAGGAACACCGAUGGCGAAGGCAGGUCUCUGGGCUGUAACUGACGCUGAGGAGCGAAAGCAUGGGGAGCGAACAGGAUUAGAUACCCUGGUAGUCCAUGCCGUAAACGUUGGGCACUAGGUGUGGGGGACAUUCCACGUUUUCCGCGCCGUAGCUAACGCAUUAAGUGCCCCGCCUGGGGAGUACGGCCGCAAGGCUAAAACUCAAAGGAAUUGACGGGGGCCCGCACAAGCGGCGGAGCAUGCGGAUUAAUUCGAUGCAACGCGAAGAACCUUACCAAGGCUUGACAUGAACCGGAAUGAUGCAGAGAUGUGUCAGCCACUUGUGGCCGGUUUACAGGUGGUGCAUGGUUGUCGUCAGCUCGUGUCGUGAGAUGUUGGGUUAAGUCCCGCAACGAGCGCAACCCUCGUUCCAUGUUGCCAGCGGGUUAUGCCGGGGACUCAUGGGAGACUGCCGGGGUCAACUCGGAGGAAGGUGGGGACGACGUCAAAUCAUCAUGCCCCUUAUGUCUUGGGCUUCACGCAUGCUACAAUGGCCGGUACAAAGGGUUGCGAUACUGUGAGGUGGAGCUAAUCCCAAAAAGCCGGUCUCAGUUCGGAUUGAGGUAUGCAACUCGACCUCAUGAAGUUGGAGUCGCUAGUAAUCGCAGAUCAGCAUUGC
rnacentral:rRNA from 1 species